rnacentral:rRNA from 1 species
UACGGGGGGGCGAAGCGUUGUUCGGUAAUUACUGGGCGUAAAGGGCUCGUAGGCGGCCAACUAAGUCAGACGUGAAAUCCCUCGGCUUAACCGGGGAACUGCGUCUGAUACUGGAUGGCUUGAGUUUGGGAGAGGGAUGCGGAAUUCCAGGUGUAGCGGUGAAAUGCGUAGAUAUCUGGAGGAACACCGGUGGCGAAGGCGGCAUCCUGGACCAACACUGACGCUGAUGAGCGAAAGCCAGGGGAGCAAACGGGG